UACGUAGGGGGCUAGCGUUGUCCGGAUUUAUUGGGCGUAAAGAGCGUGUAGGCGGCCAGAUAGGUCUGCUGUGAAAACUCGAGGCUCAACCUCGAGACGUCGGUUGAAACCGUAUGGCUAGAGUCCGGAAGAGGAGAGUGGAAUUCCCGGUGUAGCGGUGAAAUGCGCGGAUAUCGGGAAGAACACCCGUGGCGAAGGCGGCUCUCUGGGACGGUACUGACGCUGAGACGCGGAAGCGUGGGGAGCGAACAGG
rnacentral:rRNA from 1 species